AAGUAUAGACAUGCCCUGAAGGUACCAGAUCUCAUUUGAUCUAGUAAGCUAAGCAGGAUCAGCCUGAUUAGUACUUGGAUGGGAGACCACCAGUGAGUACCAGGUGCUAUAGAUU
rnacentral:rRNA from 1 species